UUCCUGGCAGUCCAGUAGUUAGGACUUGGCACUGUCACUGCCAUGGCCUGGGUUCAAUCCCUGCUCAGGGAA
rnacentral:tRNA from 1 species